GGGUCUCCCUCUGUUGUCCAAGGCUGGAGUGUAGUAGUGCUAUCGCAGCUGACUGCAGCCUCAACCUUCCAGGCUGAAGCGAUCCUCCCACCUCAACCUCCCACGUGGCUGAGACUACAGGUGCUUGCCACUAUGCCCAACUAACAUUUGGAAUUUUCGUAUACGUGGAUUCCAGAGGGGUGACAGCGAAACGUGGGACCAUCCAGUUGCAGGAAAACAAGCUUAACACGCCCACUAAUUCUACAUUAUGCUCCUACCUCCCGGCAGCCUCUCCAGGCCCAGAACUUUCUCCAGUCAGCCUCUACAGACCAAGCUCAUGACUCACAAUGGCCUAUUUAGGCCCAUACCCUACGUCACGGCAGCCUCCGCAGAUGAGGCUACUGCCUCACAACAGCCUCCACAGGCACAGCUCCAUCGUUACAAUGGCCUCUUUAGACCCAGCUCCUGCCUCCCAGCCUUCUCUCCAGGCCCUGAACUUUCUCAAGUCGACCUCACCAGGCCCAGCUCAUGCUUCUUUGCAGCCUCUCCAGGCCCAGCUCCUGCAUCUUGGUGGCCCCUCCAGGCCCAGCCUCUGCCUCCCGUCGGCCUCUGCAGUCCCAACGUCUGCCUCACAGCAGAUUCUUCACGCCCAGCAUCUACCUCACUGUGGACCCCCCAAGCCAAGCUCCCAACCUUUCAGCAGCUUCUACACACCCAGCUCCUGCCACCCAGUGGCCUCUUUAGGCCAAGCUCAUGCUUCACAAGGGCCUUUCCAGGCCCAACUUUUGUCUCAUGGCAACCUUCCCUGGCCAGAUUCCUGCCUGUCUCCCAGCAGCCUAGACAGGCCCAGGUCUUGCCUCACACUGGCCUCUCUACAUCCAGCUUAUGCCUCACGGUGGCCUCUCCAGGCCCAACUCCUGUCCCAGGACGUCAUCUCCGGGCCCAAAACUUACUCAAGUUAGACUCUCUAGUCCCAACUGCUGCCUCCUGGUGGCCUAUGAAGGCCCAAAAUCUCCUCAAGUUGACCUGUCCAGGCCCAGCUCCUGCCUCCUGUCAGCGUCUACAGGCCCAACCUCUGCCUCAUGGGGGCUUCUCCAGGCCCACCUCUUCCUCUUGGCUGGGUCUACAGGCACAACUGCUGCCUCACAACAGCCUUUUUUGGCCCAGUUCCUGUCCAGCUCAUGGCGGCCAAUGUAGGCCCAAAACUUCCUCAAGUCAAACUCUCCAGGCCCACCUUCUGCUUCCCGGUGGCAUCAACAGGCCCAGCUUUGACUUGAGAACAGCCUCUGCAGGCCCUGCUCUUGCCUCCCAGGGGCUUUUUCCAGGCCCAGCUCUUGCCUCAUGGCAGCUGCCCCAGGCCAAAUUUCUGCCUGCCUGCCAGCAGCCUCAACAGGCACAGCUCCUCCCUCACAGUGGCCCAUUUAGGCCCAACUCAUGACUGUGAGGCCAUUUCCAGGCCUAG
rnacentral:lncRNA from 1 species